rnacentral:rRNA from 1 species
UACAACAACAAACAAGUUUGACCUCAAAUCAGGUAAGAAUACCCGCUGAACUUAAGCAUAUCAAUAAGCGGAGGAAAAGAAACCAACAGGGAUUGCCUUAGUAGCGGCGAGUGAAGCGGCAAUAGCUCAAAUUUGAAAUCUGGCACCUUCGGUGUCCGAGUUGUAAUUUGAAGAAGGUAUCUUUGGUUUUGGCUCUUGUCUAUGUUUCUUGGAACAGGACGUCAUAGAGGGUGAGAAUCCCGUCUGAUGAGAUGCCCAAUUCCAUGUAAAGUUCCUUCGACGAGUCGAGUUGUUUGGGAAUGCAGCUCUAAGUGGGUGGUAAAUUCCAUCUAAAGCUAAAUAUUGGCGAGAGACCGAUAGCGAACAAGUACUGUGAAGGAAAGAUGAAAAGAACUUUGAAAAGAGAGUGAAAAAGUACGUGAAAUUGUUGAAAGGGAAGGGUUUGAGGUCAGACUUGGUUUACCAGGCCAGCAUCGGUUUAGAUGGCAGGAUAAUGGCAAAGGAAUGUGGCUUGG